GCUGGGCGUGGUGGCGCACGCCUGUAAUCCCAGCUACUCAGGAGGCUGAGGCAGGAGAAUCGCUUGAACCCGGGAGGUGGAGCUUGCAGUGAGCUGAGAUCGUGCCAUUGUACUCCAGCCUGGGUGACAGGGCAAGACUCUGUCUCAA
rnacentral:SRP_RNA from 1 species